rnacentral:rRNA from 1 species
GGGAGCCUAUACAGGUGUUGCAUGGCUGUCGUCAGCUCGUGUCGUGAGAUGUUCGGUUAAGUCCGCUAACGAGCGCAACCCUCGUCGUAUGUUAUAUGUGUCAUACGAGACUGCCGGUAAAAAGCCGGAGGAAGGUGAGGAUGAUGUCAAGUCAGCAUGACCUUUAUAUCCAGGGCUACACACACGCUACAAUGGUCUGUACAAUGGGUAGCCAAGCCGCGAGGCGGAGCCAAUCCUGAAAGCAGGCCUCAGUUCAGAUUGCAGUCUGCAACUCGACUGCAUGAAGCCGGAGUUGCUAGUAACCGCAGGUCAGCAAUACUGCGGUGAAUACGUUCCCGGGUCUU